rnacentral:lncRNA from 10 species
AGUUGGACAUUUUGUAAUUUUAGAAUUAGAAGCAACCGCGCGAUCCAGUCGCCCAAUUCCCUCGUUUUACAGAAGCAACCGAAACUCAGAGAGGUUUUGAUUUGCCCAGGGUCACACAGCUUGUCACUGGCACAGCUGACCCUAGUCUCCAGACUUUCAGCACACGGCCUUUUGUACAGUACAUCAAUGCGUGUUGAAAUCCUUGUUAUUUCACUAUCUCGCAUUCCUUUGGUCUCAAGACUAGAGAAGUUCGUAGGUGUAAAGCUUUGAAGGAAAAAGAUUUAAUUAGAACGUCUGAGUCAGACUGUUACUGCUACAAUCAAAAUUCCCAAGUGGAGUGGAAAUACAUAUGGUCAACUAUGCAGGUGAAAAUUACCAGUCCAGGCCUGUUCAGAAUUGUAUAUAUCGCAGAAAGACAUAAUUGCCAAUAUC